rnacentral:tRNA from 2 species
GCCUCUGUAGCUCAGUCGGUAGAGCGUGUGACUGUUAAUCACAAGGUCCUCGGUUCGAUCCCGUGCGGGGGCGCCA